GGCGGUGUAGCUCAGCUGGCUAGAGCGUACGGUUCAUACCCGUAAGGUCGGGGGUUCGAUCCCCUCCACCGCCACUA
rnacentral:tRNA from 1 species